AGAAACCGCAUAUAAGAGUUACUGUUCGAAGUUUCAUUCUCUUUUAUCCAAUGUUAAGUAAACAAUGCAAGUAUGUUAUUAAUUUCAACUUCUCCGUAUCUAUUUCAUUUCAACAGAGAUAGUUACUCUUCUUAUUGUCAGCUGUCACCUUCAAUUCAAAGCUUUCCAGUCACUAUCAAAGUAUUAAGUAAAAAUUGUAAUUCCAUUCAAAUUAUUUGUCUGUUCAUUCAUUUAACCAUUUCUAUAUGAUGUUAUUUGACGGUUGUGGGCAACCUGACUUUCCUGUGUGAUAUUGUGUUACAAGGAAAGUAUCACGAGUCUUCUACCUCCUUAGUUAAGAUGUAAGUAUUUUCAGUUACAAGUUUGAAAGCAGAAAUUCGUUCAAGUAGACACUUCCUCUUGUAUUGAUGUGUACAAGAUGUGAGUUCACUACUUGUUAAUUACCGAAGUUUCUUGCAGGAAAGAUAGCGCAAGAUGUCUAGAAAUAGAGUUAUAUUCUCUGUCGAAAAUUGGAUAAAGGUCGGGGCAGCAGCCACGCCCCAAAACUCGACUCACAGUGACCAUUGAUUAUGGAUUCAAGAUUAAAAUGACAAAACUACAUCUUUCUCGUGGAGAAGGAUAUAUAUAAGAGAAAAGAGGCACAUGCUGAUCAAGGGCCACAGUUGGGUGCAGUGACAAAUAUACACUAGAACUUAGAUUCGGAUAAGAAAAACUUUCAACGCUUUUCUAAGAUCGCAAGAUGAGGGAUUUUUUCAUGAUUACCAGAAAUAUUUAGCCAUUUCAGACUAGUAAGUGUGAUGAGGAAAUAGACAUCAUAUUUCACUACCCUAUACAAGAAGUGGUGCAGAAACACAUAUAAAUCCACUAACUUUAAACAUAUCAGCUAAUUUAAAAUAGCUGACCACAGGUUAAAUUUGACUGUAAAUUUAGAAGAAAAUAGUGAACAUGCUACAUCGAAUAAAGUGGUGGUCAACUCAGCUUAUACAUGCUCAGAUACAGUUUGAUUAGUGUUUUAGCUUAUGUAGGUCCAGUGUCAACUUUAAAAUAGUGCCUAGCUUAACUUCAUUCCAAUCUUAAGCAAAACACAAGCUUUAUGUACUUGUUUUAAGAUCUGUAUAAAGUUAGACUUCAGAAGGCUGUUCUGUAAGA